GGUGGGUUACCUCCCAGGAGCAGAUGACUGGCAUGGUUAGUGAUCACUAGGCCAUGAAUCUCAUGGAUCCCAUGAUACAGGUAUCUGGUCCAGAUCCGACGGAGACAAGCAAAAUCGUGCUGCUGCUUCUUCUUUCGAUUGAAAAUCCAGGUGAAAACUUUCAAGAACUCAGGAC